UCCUUUGGUGGUAGGAACUUAUUUUGUGAAAGGAGUUUGAGUUCUGGGCCAAGGAAAACACUGAAGAUGAGGCUUUGCAACCACAUUCGUAUACAGGAGUGGAGGUGCCUGCGAACCAGUGUCAGCCCUACAGAUGAAGACAAUUCUUGGAGUGUGUCAGAAAAACAAUAUGGAAGAAGUCAUGUCCCUGAAGGAUCUAUGGAGCAGAGCUACACCACCCGCCUAGACUGGCUGAACUAUUACAUGAGAGAAAGAUGAAUAUCUAUUGUCUUUUUUUCCUUCUUAAAGAUGUUAUUACUGAAGAUUAAACUUCUCCUUAAAUUAUAUAGGAGAGCUUAGAAAGGGAUGAAAAGUUCUGAUCCCUUCUAUGCAACGAUCUUGAAAACAAUAGCUUUUCUCUUGGAGGAAGAAGGCUAUACCUUGUCUAAAUGAGCAAGUCUAUUCACUGAAUUUAUUUAGUUCCUCACUGUGAGAAAUCUCCUCUGACUUGCUCCAAAAGUGGCUUUCAACAGCAAGAUACUAUCAUGGGAAUCCUCAUGAGGUGGUUCUACAUAAUGUUUUGCAGUUAUUUAUUAUGGGGAUAUGUUGAAGGACUAUAAUUCCCUAAUUCUGUUCUUUUUCUCUGACAAAUCAAGGUGACUGUGUAAUUUAUUCCCACAACUUUCCAACAUUCUUCCAUUGAAAGAUGAAAGAAGAAGGAUGUGAAGGACGAGCAUUUUAGAAUCUAGGUGGAACUGACCCCAUCUUGUUUGGCAGUGGAUUAAGAGUCAAAUAGCUGAGAGUUUAACUGGAGAUGUUGGAACUUGCGUUCAGAGAACAAUAAAUCUCAGAUACCAUCCUGUGAAGCACCCUCUGUGUCAACUACUACAAAGUGUUAAUAAAUUGAGCAUCAAAUUUAAAUUUACAUUAGGAUCCUCAAAUUGUCUCUAGGAGACAUCUUUGAGCAGUUACGGUGUCAUCUUGGGGAAGUUCCAAGCCGAUGACACACUUUUGAGAAAAUUAUGCCCCUGAUAAAUGAAGUGUCAAAGAUAAAACUAAGUCCAAAACAAAACUAAUAAAGGCUGUUUAUUCAUAAACUUA